rnacentral:lncRNA from 1 species
AAUUAAAAAAAACCCUACUAAUUUCCUAGAUCACAAUAUGGCAGCUAGAUGUUUUAUAAAUAACAGCUACUAAUAACAUGUUAAGAUGUAAAAGGCUUAAAGCAUUGCUUCUUGGUCACCUCAUAUUUAAUGUAAUUGUCACCAGACAGUUGCUUUGUGUGUGGUAGCAGUGGCCCAAGACUGAAACAUCACGGAUGUACCUCUCCUUUGUCGACAUUCCAAAACUCCACAAAGUGACUGGUGUGAUCCUGAUGGUCUACCAAUUGUAUUUGGAAGCACCGUGAAGCUUUUCCAGCAAACCAUUUAGUUUAAAAUGUUGCAUAUUUUGAAGAUGCAAAAUAAAUUCUAUCUAUGUAAAUAUCAGCUGAAAAAUGUAUUGAGAGAUAUAAACUGCCCUCUUCUCAAGAGAGACCCCACAGAGUCUUGCAGCUUUAAGUCCUCCUCUCUGGCUGCUGAUAACCCCUAGAUGUGGCGCCUCUUCCCUGAGCGGAGUAUCCAGAUGACUCUAGUACAAGGACUCACCCCUGACUUCUUCCCUUCUCACCCGCCAUGCAAUCCCACAGUAAGUCUUGUGGCCCUGCCUGCAGCACGCAUCCUGAUUGCAGCCUCUUCUUGCUCUCUGCGUUUCUACAGCCAGUUUCAGCCACCUUCGUCACUUACUGGCCUGCUGCCCAAGACUGCCUCCAAACCUUCUCCUUGCUGCCUCUCUUGCCCUCCCACAGUCCAUUCUCCACUCAGCAUCCAGAGUGAUCUCUUAAAAACAUGAAAAACAUAAUAUACCCCCACAGCCCCAUUUAGACCCUACCACUGGCUUCUCACUGUGAUGGAAUAAAAGCUUACACAUUGGCCUGAGCCUGCCUCUUCAGCCUCAUCUCCUUCCCUUGCUUAUUCACACUCUGUCUGUCAGAUUUUCUGGUCUCUAGAGCUGAAAGCAGUCUUAACUGACAAACAGAUAUUAGAUCAUAGAAUCUAGAGCACAGGGUAUGGAAGGAAAAGUGCAAGAUGGAAAAGCCAGAAAUGGUUAAAA